CAGCCGCCGCGGUAAUACGAAGGGUGCAAGCGUUAAUCGGAAUUACUGGGCGUAAAGCGUGCGCAGGCGGUUUGUUAAGACAGAUGUGAAAUCCCCGGGCUCAACCUGGGAACUGCAUUUGUGACUGGCAAGCUAGAGUGUGGCAGAGGGGGGUGGAAUUCCGCGUGUAGCAGUGAAAUGCGCAGAUAUGCGGAGGAACACCGAUGGCGAAGGCAGCCCCCUGGGCCAACACUGACGCUCAUGCACGAAAGCGUGGGGAGCAAACAGGAUUAGAUACCCCCGUAGUCCCUGUCUCUUAUAC
rnacentral:rRNA from 1 species